rnacentral:rRNA from 1 species
GGCCAGACUCCUACGGGAGGCAGCAGUGGGGAAUAUUGCACAAUGGGGGAAACCCUGAUGCAGCGACGCCGCGUGAGUGAAGAAGUCUUUCGGUAUGUAAAGCUCUAUCAGCAGGGAAGAAAUAGCGACCUUUGGGUCGCCAGACGGUACCUGACUAAGAAGCCCCGGCUAACUACGUGCCAGCAGCCGCGGUAAUACGUAGGGGGCAAGCGUUAUCCGGAUUUACUGGGUGUAAAGGGAGCGUAGACGGCAGCGCAAGUCUGAAGUGAAAUGCCGGGGCUUAACCCCGGAACUGCUUUGGAAACUGUGCAGCUAGAGUGCAGGAGGGGUAAGUGGAAUUCCUAGUGUAGCGGUGAAAUGCGUAGAUAUUAGGAGGAACACCAGUGGCGGAGGCGGCUUACUGGACUGUAACUGGCGUUGAGGCUCGAAA